rnacentral:lncRNA from 10 species
AGGAGUAUGGACUCUGGAGUCAUAGGGCUGGAAUGCAAAUCUCAGCUCUAUCGUUUACCAGCUGUGCAACUUGGGCAAGUUACUCUCUAUUACUCUGUUUCCACAUCGCCCACAGCUAGCACCAACUUGCCAGCCAUGUGAGUGAAUCAUCGUGGAAAUGAUAUCUGCCAGCCCUGGCCAAAAUGCCCCAGCUGAUGCCACAUAAAGCAAAAAUUAGCAGUUGCCACCAAGCCCUGCCUAAAUUGCAAAAUCGUUGAGAUGUUUCCCAAAAUGCCUCACAAAUAUUCUGGGAUGUCACCUUUUGCAAUGGAUCUGCAGGUUCCAUCGUGCCCUAGCUUUUUGCCUGAGGGGAGGCUCUGGCCAUGGGUCCCUUUUCAGGUCAGCAAGAGUGCCGUGCAGAGCAGGAGCCCCAUCCAAUGCUCUACAGGUAUACCAUCCAAUACUGUCCAAUAUUGUAGCCAUAUGUGACUAAUGAGCACUUGAAGUGUAGCUAGACUGAGAUGUGCUGGAAGCACACAAAACACAACUCAUUGUACAGGCUUAUACAGUACUAGUCUUCGAGAGAAUGUAAAAUAUCUCACUAAUAAUUUUAUAUUAAUUAUGUGUUGAAUUGAUAAAAUUUGGAUGUACUGGAUUAAAUAAAAUACCUU